rnacentral:rRNA from 1 species
GAUGAACGCUGGCGGCGUGCCUAACACAUGCAAGUCGAGCGAUUUACUUCGGUAAAGAGCGGCGGACGGGUGAGUAACGCGUGGGUAACCUGCCCUGUACACACGGAUAACAUACCGAAAGGUAUGCUAAUACGAGAUAAUAUGCUUUUAUCGCAUGGUAGAAGUAUCAAAGCUUUUGCGGUACAGGAUGGACCCGCGUCUGAUUAGCUAGUUGGUAAGGUAACGGCUUACCAAGGCGACGAUCAGUAGCCGACCUGAGAGGGUGAUCGGCCACAUUGGAACUGAGACACGGUCCAAACUCCUACGGGAGGCAGCAGUGGGGAAUAUUGCACAAUGGGCGAAAGCCUGAUGCAGCAACGCCGCGUGAGCGAUGAAGGCCUUCGGGUCGUAAAGCUCUGUCCUCAAGGAAGAUAAUGACGGUACUUGAGGAGGAAACCCCGGCUAACUACGUGCCAGCAGCCGCCGUAAAAC